GACGAACGCUGGCGGCGUGCUUAACACAUGCAAGUCGAACGGAAAGGCCCUGCUUUUGUGGGGUGCUCGAGUGGCGAACGGGUGAGUAACACGUGAGUAACCUGCCCUUGACUUUGGGAUAACUUCAGGAAACUGGGGCUAAUACCGGAUAGGAGCUCCUGCUGCAUGGUGGGGGUUGGAAAGUUUCGGCGGUUGGGGAUGGACUCGCGGCUUAUCAGCUUGUUGGUGGGGUAGUGGCUUACCAAGGCUUUGACGGGUAGCCGGCCUGAGAGGGUGACCGGCCACCAUGGUACUGAGAGACGGCCCAGACUCCUAUGUGAGGCAGCAGUGGGGAAUAUUGCACAAUGGGCGGAAGCCUAAUGCAGCAACGCCGCGUGCGGGAUGACGGCCUUCGGGUUGUAAACCGCUUUCGCCUGUGACGAAGCGUGAUUGACGGUAAUGGGUAAAGAAGCACCGGCUAACUACGUG
rnacentral:rRNA from 1 species